rnacentral:lncRNA from 1 species
AAAAGGAAUGCUUUCCAUAAGGGUUGUUUCAUUUCAUGGACAUGGCAAUCAAUCAAUCAACCAAGAAGCAAACAUUUAUUAAGCACCAGCUAUGUAAAAGACACUGAGCUAAGCACCGGAGAUACAAAGAAAGGGGUAAGCCAGUCCCCAGCUCCCCGGGAGUUCACAGUUUAAUGGGGGAGACAGCAUGCAAACCAUUAUGGACAAACAAGACAUUUCCAUAAACUGGAGGUGAUGAACACAGGGAAGGCACUGGCAUUAAGGGGGACCAUGAAAGUGGGAAUUUUAUCUGGUGCUUGAGGGAAGCCAGGAAUAAGGAUAUACAGGUAUUUCAUACCCCUUCAGACGCAUGCUCCGCCUCAGCACUGAGGUCAAUAAGCCAGCAUCCCUCUUUUGAUUAAAGCCUAGACAAACCUACUAAAGGUAGAAGCAAGUAUUAUUCUGAAAGGGCUGUGGGCCAUCUGAUGACAGAAAAGGUUAAGCCACAGUGUCCACGUUGGUUCCUGCCAUCCCACAGUUGUGUCACCGCUAUGAAAUGCCAUCAUUUUAGACUUGGUGAGAUCUUGAAAAGCAGCUGCAGUCUUCCAUCCCUUCCAAGCACCCUCACAGAAGAGAAGAGAGAGUGCCCAAGCAUCGUCAUGAAUGGGCUGCAUUAAGGUAGAGACUAUGGAAGUAGUUACAGUAAUAAGAGCAGCAGCAGAAAGGUCACAAGGGAAAGAGGAGCCAGCACAGAGAGAACCCAGCAGAAGGUUGCAUUUGGAUGUUUGACUGGCCAAUGACAUGUAAAAUGCCUAAUUAGCAGUUUUUCAAGCACUAUUUAUAUUCCAAGGCUUAAGUUUUGACCUCCCAACUGAUUAUACUAGUAGGAAUGUUAUAUGAAUUGGAUUCUAAUCACCUGUCAUAUGUGCUGAGACCUCAUUUCUGUGUGGAAAUAAAAGGACUUCUUCUAUACCUA